rnacentral:misc_RNA from 1 species
GAUGAAGAACGCAGCGAAAUGCGAUAAGUAAUGUGAAUUGCAGAAUUCAGUGAAUCAUCGAAUCUUUGAACGCAUCUUGCGCUCCUUGGUAUUCCUUGGAGCAUGCCUGUUUGAGUAUCAUGAGCAAAUCUCAAAGUCAAUUCCUUUUGUUAAUUCAAUUGGUUUUGCUUUGGACUUGGAGGUCUUGCAGAUUUCACAGUCUGCUCCUCUUAAAUGCAUUAGCUGGAUCUCAGUAAUUAUGCUUGGUUCCACUCGGCGUGAUAAGUAUCACUCGCUGAGGACACUGUUAAAAAGGUGGCCAGGAAAAUACUGAUUGAACCGCUUCUAACGGUCUAUUAAGUUAGACAAUUACCCUUAAGUUUGAUCUCAAAUCAGGUAGGACUACCCGCUGAACUUAAGCAUAUCAAUAGCGGAGGA